UGUUCAACAAGUUUGAACAGAUACUAGGGCAGUGUUGGCAAACCUUUUCAGCACCGAUUGCCAAAAUCGAGAAUGCGCGGAUGUGCGUGUGCCAGAAACCAGAAAAGCAGAUGUGCGUGCGAAAACCAGCUGUCCGAUAAUGAUCAACAAGCAGAAACUCACAUACCUUGAGCAUGUUAACCAUGUGGAUGAUGGACUGGAAAAAACUUGUUAUGUUUGCCAAGACUGAGAGAAACAGAAGAAGGAGGAGACAACAGAUAAAACCAGUUCUUGAGAUCAAAGAGAUUAGUGGACUGUUCUUAGAUCUAUGAAUGAUUACUGAGGAAUUUUUCCAUACAAUCACCAGAAGUCAAACAUGACUUGAUGAUACCUGACUAAUAUACACUGGAGAUCAGAUA